UCGGGCGCAGUACCGGAACCGUGCUGCUGCGCCCCAGGGACCAGCCCUUCCUCCCGCGCUUUCUUGUUUCCUCCCGCGCCUCGCCCGAUGGGGCCCGCGCUUUGUGCAGAUGCAGAGCUGGAACCAGGCGGUGUGGACACAAAGGCAGGGCCUUAGGGUUGUGCAGAGUGCGACGGAGCUGAGACGAGCCCCACCCGGAGAGCGCAAAGCAGUGCCGGAGUCGCGGGGACCAAGAAGGGAGGGCCCCUGGAAUUUACCCGAGAGUCAGGCUUUAUAAAAACCCUUUCCCGGCAGCGGUUCAUUUUAACAACUGUCCUCAAGCUCCAGUCGCUUAAGCCAGGGGCAGAUGCACUUACCCCACGUGCAGGGGGAAAGUCCUGACCCGUCUGAGUGCCACGGAGAUGGCCGACAUUUCCAGAAGGGACUUCGUUGAGAAGGAAGAAGAAACACAGGCGCACACUCAGAACCGGCCCCUGUCGUUUCUGGCUCAUCAGCAGCGUCACCAGCAUCACAGGGCUCGCUGACAGACGAGGGCACCUUGGCGGGCACCAGCCGCUAGGCCAGCCUAGGUGGACCACGACCACUUGGAAAUCUUAAAUCUGCCGUCACAGUAACAUGAUCGGGGCCCAGUGGCUGGUUCUGCACGUUUGCCGAGAUGAGAGCUGCAAGCUCGCGUGGUGACCUUCGCUUGUGUGGUGACCUUCGGCUUCCAGCCGGCGUUUGGCCAGAUUCUCCUGUGUCUCUGUGGCUUCAGCCUUGGCCUUUGCCAAGUGGAAUAGCUGAGCACUCAGUGUCCUUUCCAGCACCUCAGACUGAACGUGAGUGAUGACGGCAACUGGAUAGAUUUCCACCCUGUCCCACCAGUGAACCGGUCUGCAGUAACAGAGUCACGGCAAGGCAUCCGCAGUGGUUGGUACUCCGAACACCUGCUUUCCAGGUGAGGGGUGCCAAAUUCUAGCAGUAACUGGAAGCUCAAGAUCCGAUGAUGGACUUUUUAAUGUUGCAAUGCUAACAAUCUGUUGAAGUGUAUAGGAUUAUAUUUUUUAACAUUGCAAAAGUGAAAUGCUAUAAUAAUUAUUGAAGGUUAUGAAGGUUAGUAAUUAUUGAAGGCUGAUUCUGUGGAAUAAAUGAGAACUUUCAAAUAGUUAAAUAAAUAUAUGAACAGUUAAUGUCAAUAUUGAGAAAAUAUUACCCAGAU